rnacentral:rRNA from 1 species
AUUGAACGCUGGCGGCAGGCCUAACACAUGCAAGUCGAACGGAUGAAGGGAGCUUGCUUCUGGAUUCAGCGGCGGACGGGUGAGUAAUGCCUAGGAAUCUGCCUGGUAGUGGGGGAUAACGUCCGGAAACGGGCGCUAAUACCGCAUACGUCCUGAGGGAGAAAGUGGGGGAUCUUCGGACCUCACGCUAUCAGAUGAGCCUAGGUCGGAUUAGCUAGUUGGUGGGGUAAAGGCCUACCAAGGCGACGAUCCGUAACUGGUCUGAGAGGAUGAUCAGUCACACCGGAACGGAGACACGGUCCAGACUCCUACGGGAGGCAGCAGUGGGGAAUAUUAGACAAUGGGCGAAAGCCUGAUCCAGCCAUGCCGCGUGUGUGAAGAAGGUCUUCGGAUUGUAGAGCACUUUUAGUUGGGAGGAAGGGCAGUAAGUUAAUACCUUGCUGUUUUGACGUUACCAACAGAAUAAGCACCGGCUAACUUCGUG